GCCCUUUCUUCAUCCCUCUCACCUUCGCCUCCGUCACCCUCGUCUCUCCACCACCGUCCAUUUUCUUAUGGAAGACGGAGACCCUCCGAUCAAGGAGGAAACAGAGGAGAUAUAUAGAGAAAGGAAGAAAGGGUGAACUUUCAUUUUGAGAAUGUUUGGUGUAUAUUUGGAGAGAAAAGACAGAGGUUUCAAGAAAUUACAGAAGGAGUUGAGAGAAAGAUAGGAUAAGUACUCUCUGUCUUUGACCAAUUGGAGAUAAAUCAAAAAUAAGAUGUUGUGAUGUGGUAAUGAUGAGAAGUUCUUUUUAAGAAAAAAAUUUAUAUCACCUCUUAGUGUCUCAAUCUUAAAUGUUUAUAAGUCGCUCUCUAUAAACAAUGAAUGUUAAAUUAUCCAUAUUAGGUAGUCAAAGCCAUUAAUUUAAUGUGAACAGAGAAUCUAAUGGAAAAUGACUUGUUACAACCAUUAAUAAACUCUUAUGAAACAAUAGACAAACACUCGAAUUAAGUAAUAACCAUGGUAGAAACAUUAAUUAAAAUGAUAAAUAUGUAAUAUUUGUUUUUUGAUAUGUAAUAUAAUUAAAUAAAUAAAAAGGAGAGGAGUGAGCUUCUUUCACGGCCGCGCAUUGCAUGCCUUAUGGAAUGGGACGUUCUCUUCAAAGACCCGAUUUUCUCUUAUUUUACUUCUUCUCUUGCUCCUUUUCUUUUCCUCCCACGCAUUUUCUGUCCUUUUCUCGUUUUUUAAAUGUCCAAAACAAAUAAUGUAAUGAUUUAUUAUUAUAUUUUCUUUAGGAUAGAGGAUAAUAAAGAUAAUUCAAAGGUUAUUUAUGCGAUAUUUCAUGCAAAAUUACGCUGGCAUGAUCAAAUUUCAUAUGGGCACAUUUUCAUCAUAGGAGUUUGAGUCUUAUAAGCAAAUACUUCUUUUUUACAGAAAAAAUGCCCCUAAGGUGUCAAAUUUUGUUAGAACACUCUUCUUUAAAGAAUAUUCUCAACUUUUCAUCAAAGCUCUAUUAAGAGUUAAUGAUGAUAUGUUCAAUAGAUAAGUUUGAAGCAAUUAAUAGCCCUUAACAAAAAGAAGAAAAAGUAAUAAAAAUAUUUUUAAUUGAUUUUUUCCGUUUAUUUUGUCGUAUAUAAAUAACUCACGAGUUACACGACUUUUUUUUGUUUUAUAAAAAUAAAUGUAGUCAACACUGAUUUCUCUUGUUUUGAGUUUCGGUAUAAUUUUAAUAUUACUCAUUUUAGCUAUAAAUAUACAUACCUAUUUUGUUUAGUUACACAUGUUUCUUUACGUUAUUUUUUUAAAAAUAUACGUUACUUUUUAAAAAAAUAUAAAAUUAAAUAGCAUUAAACACAGUUAUUUAAUUAUAUUUAUAAAUAUUUAAAUUUAAAAAGAGCUACUUAAAGUAUAUAAUGUUAUUGUUAUAACGUUUAGCUCGAGAAUAUAUACACAUAUUAAU